AUGUGUCUUUGUUCUUCAAUUCACAACAGUAGUGGAACUCGCCUUUAUCUGAAGAAUCAUUUUUCAUAUUUAGGAAAAAAGCUUGUGGCAACUGUCUUCUCUGAACAGCGAUCUUGUGAACAUGGGCCUCAGUACAAUAAAGAGGACACUUCACACCCUACAACCCGUAAAAAUAACCCAUGUUUGACAGAACUACACACCCAUCUGAGGCCUACUGUACCUGUUUUACUUCAUGAUCACCCCAGAUACUUCUACAGUUGACCCGCUUUGUGUCUGAUGUUGAUGCAGUCUGGGCCUAUUUACAUCAGGUACGAUUUCUUAACUAUGUCAUUACUAAGACAAGGACUGACCACUGAUCUAUAUAUGACUAUUCUAUAUUAUAGAUCAGUGGGACUGACACAUUUAUGUUGCAUUCAAAAGAGCUCCGUUAACAGCCCAACAGUGAAAAAUUAAACUAUAUCCGUAUUGUCACAGCAUGGAAUGGUUAAGCAUUGAGAAUUAAGAAUGGUUUGGCCUGACAGUGGAAAAGCGGCUCAAGUCUUCGAAAGAGACACGAUUGCUAUAUGAUCAACUGUCUAAAGUGUUGGGUAAAUAGACCUUCAGUUAAAGGACAGAAAUUUCUCAGAUUUCACUGAAAAUGUCUUUAUUUGUGUUUCGAAAAUAAACAAAAGUCAUGGGUGAGUAAAUGAUGACAUGAAUUUCAAGUUUGGGUGAACUAACCCAAUGGCAUGGCAGUGUAGGCAGGACAGAUAACACUGAAAACUGAAAAAAAAAAAGAAAAAAAAACAAUUACUGACCCCAAAUUACUGACCAGUAGUGUAUAUUGUUAUUACAAAAUAUUUAUAUUUUAAAAACAAUAGUACUUUCUUUUUUUUUUUUUUCUUUUAUUCUUCUCUGCCUUCACCCUGUGUCUUCUGCCAUCAUUGUUCAGUGUAGUACUGCAAAGAACAGUCUCCAGGGUCUACCUCCAACAUUUGCUUCCGGACCGCCAUGUGCUACGUUUGGAUUACUGGUACAUGUGGAUUACCCUGAUACUGUGAAGAACACUUACAAUAUGAUGCUUGACUUGGGACAGAAAAAAAAAAAACAUUGGCAACUUGUGUGGCCAACUCAUUGCAAUACUUAAUCUCAUCGUACUGCUACCUUUGCUGUUUAGCAUAAACAAAAGCAGACUGUUUUUGCUUUGUUUCAAAAUGUUUGUAAUACAAGUUAAAACAUAUAUUAUCUUUAACUUUGAACUGUCACUACCUUUGAUUUAUGGGUAAUUAUGUGUGUGAAGAAUAGAACAUUGUUGUCAUGAAUUUGUAAUGGAUGUUUGAAGCAUUUAAGUUACUGGAGUAAUGGUAACUUGUUUUUUUUUAAGGCAACUGGUUAAAACUAGAUUGCUGUUCAAGUAAAUACAACUUAGAAAUUCCAAGUUGCAGGAACUAGAUUGCUGUUCAAGUAAAUACAACUUAGAAAUUCCAAGUUGCAGGAAAUGUUACUUGAUUUAGCUAAACUUAAAUUAGUUGUUUGAAAACUCACAUAGUAUAUUGUACUUAAUCAUUUAGUUGUUGAAAAUAGUGAUUCUGAGUUACAAGAACUUGCGUGUAAGUUUACAACACUAAAUAAACCUUUGUUAGUACAAAUUACUACACUCAAAAAAAUGAUUUUUGCUCUUUGUUCAAUUUCAUUAAUUAAAACGAGCUCA
rnacentral:lncRNA from 1 species